CAACAUGUUUCCAUGCGCUGUGGCUGCUGGUGGCCAUGAGGUCUCCACCUGCAUGUGAGAACAAUCUAGAGGACUUGAACAGCUCAAGUCAACAAUGCCUGCAGCUGCCACUUGCCUCUCCUAUAAUG
rnacentral:snoRNA from 1 species